AUUUAGAUGCUGUCAUUGCUUUUCUUUAUGUUUCUUAGAACAAGCAACAAAAAAAAUUGUAAAAUAAAAAUAUUUAAAAUGUGAAAAUUUAAGUAAAACAAAAAUUAAAAUUUUAAUUUUUUUAAAUUAGCAAUAUUUGCUAUUUCUAAACUUAUCGUUUUUCUACCGGCAACACCGACUUUCGUUUUUUUCUUUGUUUAGAAACUCAACGAGAUGAAGUUUGCAAUACGGGUUCUUUUAAGCACAUAGUUAACUUAUGUGUUUUUAAACAAAAUUUGUAAGUGGGGGCCCGAAAAAUUACGCAUAUGUUGUGUUUUCUGCUACGACAGGGGAAGAAAGCAUAAUAUGUAAAGAUUUUUCUAUUUUAACCAAAAAAAAAAUCAAAACAUAAGAAAUGGGCCAUCUGGAAAUUCCUGCAAAUAACUCAUUACGAGAUUAAGCAGAUGAGGAGAUACAUAAUCAUAAUUACUAUUUGAUGCAAUACAUUUCAUAUUUUGAACAGGUUAAUAACUUAGCCAUAAUGGGAGGAUUCGAUUUUUAAUUUAGAUGUAAUAGACAAACGAAAUAGUUGUAAUAUUGACGUAUCAUAGUUGGACUGGGGACAAAAUAAUGUUUCAAAGAAGGGACUUUUUGCCAAUAACAAAAAUUUUAGUGGAAAAUAUCAACCCAAAACAGUGAGACGGACGUAGAAUUUAAAUACCUUUUUGGCGAUGUUCGUGUCGAAUACAUGUAUUACGAAAAGUAUAUAUUUGGUUUAGACUUUCGUACCUAUUAUACCAUCGUAUUUCUAUUCAGAGAGUCCGUUAUUGAUUUUCUCAAAAAAUCCGAGCAGAUUGUCUCGAUUCUUACCCACCUGCUCCAGCCAAGGCUAUAAUAUGGGUACAAUAGCUGUUUAUUGGUCAACUGUAAAUACUGUAUCAUGUUUGUGGUUUUGCAAGUGAUCUUAAAUUUGCCUCGUGGCAGAGGGGUGCCGACUAUCGGUUUAUUAUAUUUUCGGGGUAUAGAAUUUUGGGCUAAGGUAAGUAAAGUCUGUUCAUACAUAUAAGAAAGUGACUAACUGAUAUGAAUCAAGGAAAGACCCGGGCAAGCUGUAGGAAUGAAAUAUGGCCGAACAGGUCCGUACUUUGCUUAAAAUUUAAUUAUUUGGGGUUUUGUUAGGAAAAAUACUAAACAAUAUUUAGGUAUAAAAUUAUUUUCUAUUACAGACCACAAUUUUACCUGAAUUGAAAUUCCGAAACUUUAGGUAAUAAUCUUGUUGCAUUGUAUGUUAAUGAACACCCUUGGAUAAUGCCAUUCAAAAGCAAUUGGUCACUUUCUUAUAUCUACGAACAGACCAUACCCUACGCAACAAAAUAUUGAAGGAUCUUCAGGAUCCUACCAGUGAGCGAGUAGAAAAUUAUUUGCAAAGAGGGUAAAGGUAAAUCGUAAUAUAAAUUGUUUAUAUAUUAUUCCACUGUUGAUAAUGUGUGUCCUUUUAAAAUAGCGCUUUAUUUGACCCGUACUUUUUUCUUGUCAGAGCUUGUCUAAAAACCGAGAUGGAGGUACUCCGUCAGGUUUUUUCCUGUCGAAAUAAGUAUGUUAUAAAAAGGUAACAAUUAGGUGUUCUCUUUUGGGGAACGGGUGGGGGUUAUACGUUUAUAAGUUAUAAGAAAUUAAAAUUUUAUUCAGUUUCCACUGAUACAAUUUUGUGAUAAGUGCUGAGUGAGAAAAUGUCUUAAGUCGAAAAUUAUCAAACGCAAGCAUUGGAUUCGUGGGGAAGAUUUGUGGUCAAUGCGGAAAUAAUCCGCGAACAAAAAUACAUUUACGAGGCAGCAAUUACGCUGUCGGAGUUCGGACUAGAAAUUACCUCAGGUCUUAGUCCUGCAAGAAUCUUCGUUCCAGCAGUGAAAGUGAGCUUUCUCCCCUUCGCUUUUCCGGUGAAAAGAAGCAUUUCCGUCGACGAGAUAGAGCUCACAGAAUUUAUACAACAGCUUCCACUGAUAUUGUCAACAGGGCCAACUGGUAAAAUUAUGUAUUUAACUUGGUCCAAACUCAGCUGUCUACAAUGCGAUGGUGAAGUUAUGGUCUAGGUUGAAAAUGGUUAUAUUUCGAAAGACUGGGUACCAUAAGCAACUUGGUAUUUAAAAAAAUAGGAGUACUGUCUCGUUUGUACUUUUUUGAACUGGAAAACACCAAAAUCUUUCCGUAUAUAGAAUAUUUAUGUUCUGCAGAAGAGAGUGAGCAGAGCCACUGCAUGGCGGACAACAUGCGUUUUGGAAAAAUGCAAAUAAUGCAAGAUAUCGACAGAAGGACAUUAUGGGAAAUACAUGUGUUAAAUAGAGAUUUACCUAUAAGCUAAUAAU